UGGGGGAUAUUGCACAAUGGGCGAAAGCCUGAUGCAGCGACGCCGCGUGGGGGAUGAAGGCCUUCGGGUUGUAAACUUCUUUUGCUCUGAACAAGGCAUGCCUUUGGGGUGUGUUGAGUGUAGGGGUUGAUUAGCGCCGGCUAACUACGUGCCAGCAGCCGCGGUAAUACGUAGGGCGCGAGCGUUGUCCGGAAUUAUUGGGCGUAAAGGGCUUGUAGGUGGCUGGUUGCGUCUGUCGUGAAAGCUCAUGGCUUAACUGUGGGUUUGCGGUGGGUACGGGCUGGCUUGAGUGCAGUAGGGGAGGCUGGAAUUCCUAGUGUAGCGGUGGAAUGCGCAGAUAUCAGGAGGAAUACCGGUGGCGAAGGCGGGUCUCUGGGCUGUUACUGACGCUGAGGAGCGAAAGCGUGGGGAGCGAACAGG
rnacentral:rRNA from 1 species